rnacentral:lncRNA from 1 species
AGAACUGGGAACCUGUUUUUCAAGCUGAUUAUUACACACAUAACACUCAUUAAUAAAUUCUCCCAUUUUUCCAGAAUGUAUUUUCACAUGGACAUUGAUUUCAUCUGUCAAAGGUUGGAUUAUCUCCAUUUUCCAGUUGAAGUAUUUGAACUGACACAAGCUGAAAAUGACGGGACAUGGGAUUCAUACCCAGAAGGAGAAGAGAAGUAACCAGACAGACUCUGCAGAUCGACAGCGCAUAUGAAACGUUCUGCCCUCAUUUUAUUUUAAGGCAUAAAGCUUUCCAGUGUGUGAGCGGCACCUUCAAACUGGGAGCUUAAUGGUGAGUUCAUUGAUUUUUAUCAAACUGUAUUUCUUUAAGAAAGUUCCUAAGAAA